GCGGGUGUGGUGUAUGGUACACUGCUGUGUUCAUUGGGCCUUUGCUCCUUAAAUGCAGGCAGCAGACCCGGGUUCGACUCCCGGCACCCGCA